ensembl:lincRNA 4833418N02Rik RIKEN cDNA 4833418N02 gene
AGAGGGUUGGGGAAGGCAGAAAGAGUGAAAGACUGACUUGGGUAUCCUGAGAAUGCGUUUUCAAUUUACCUAGUCAGAGUGUUAGUGGGAGAUACCCCUGGGGCCAGAGGGAACAGCAGGAUUGACAGAAAGGGGAAGGGUAGACUGACAGAAACAAAGAAACCCCAUCUUUUCUUCCCAUUCUUUUGUCAACCACGGUUGCAAAUACUGGAGGACUGGCUGCAGAGAGCAUUAGCUCUUGUCUGUUUGACUCUAUCAUCAGUUUGAGUGUGGGCACGGGAGGGCACAGAGUUCGUGCCUCAGAUACAAAGCAAGUGUUCCUCCAGGCGCCUGACCGCGUCUCAGCUCUUUGCUAGCAGAGCCAAGAUCCUCAUCUUCUAAUGACCAGCAUUAGGAAGAGAGAGUGGAAACCUAUAGGAAAAAGAACAAACGAAAAAGUCACAGAGCUGUGACUGCAUUAAUAACAUCUGGUGAGAUAAAAGGCAAGUAGCAAGUGGGGUUUGUUGCAUGUGGUGGUGCAUGCCUGCUGUCAUAGUAUUUGGAAACUAAAGGCAGGGGGAUUAAAAAGAAUUCAAGGCCAGCCUGGGAUACAUAGCAAGAUCCUUUUUUUUUUUUUAAAGAAAAGUAAUGUUAUUUAUUUAUUUAUUUAUUUAUUUAUUUAAUUUACAUAAUCUUGAAUCUCACAGACAAAUUCAGGAUUAACUUUAGUCAAGACCACUCUGAUGCCAGCUUACCAAAGCUGCUAGCCAACAUCGUGGUGGUCUCCCAAUGAUUUUACUGCUCCACAUGAAGAGGAACAGCUUUGACCCCAACAGUCUUAUUAGUGUUUCUAAGAAAGACAAUGAAGUUCAUGGAGGAAGUAUGGGGGGUUGGGGGGGCAGGUUGGUAUUUUGUUUGAGACAGGUCUCACUAUGUUGCUCUGUCUGGCCUGGAACUCACCGUGUAGAUCAAGCAUCCUGAGUGCUGAUACAAACGGCGUGCACCUCCACAAUGAGCAGAAGUGUGCAUCUUUCAAGUGAGCAACAAAAGACAUGAGGAGUGGAAGCCGCCCUGAAGGCUGCUUUGACUGCAUUGUUAGUGGCUGUCCCUAGACAAGUGAAAGCCCCUGGACUGUGGGAAAGACUGUAACAGGAUAUUGAUAUUUAUUAAGUGUUGGAAAAGUAACGUAACAGUUGAAGCGAGGACUCCUCUGGCCCUCUGUGGACCUCCACGAACGAUGACUUUCAUGGCAAGCUGAAGACAGGUCUAUGUGACUCCAUGACACAUGGUGUCUAUGUGACUCCAGCUCACCUCCUUGCCUCCUAAGUCGAUGAACCAGCAGAUUGAACCCAAAGCUCCAUGGUUGUUUAGGCCGGAGCUGCGACUUUAUGGCGGAGACUUUGCAUUCACAGAGUUCUGCAUUCCGUUUCCAGCGCUGAGAACAUCCUGCUUUGUGCUGUGAAGAAACAUCACAAUUAAGGCAAAGUGCGUGAAAGACAAUCGUUAUACACAGACUUAUUAAGCUCCCACCAGGGUAAAGAAACAGGUUUUUACCAGCAUCCCAGGAGCCUCCAGUAUAUCCCUUCCCAAACAACCUCUGCCUCUUAGAAAUAACCAUUGCAUUUAUGGUAAUUAUGACAUUGGUUUCUAAUAGUUCUAUAAAAUUGAAAAAACAUUUAUCCCAUUUUUCAAAAAUUAUGAUUGAAAUUUAAUUUUAUAAAUAUGUUGAAUUUUUAGAGGGUCACAUGACUUCUGGUUGAAGUUUAUUAAUGUGAUGAAGUAUCUUUGCAUUACUAGUGUAAGAUAAACCUAGUUGUAUUCAUUUCUUGUGGCUGAUGUAAUAAAUUUAAAACAAC